UACGAAGGGGGCUAGCGUUGCUCGGAAUCACUGGGCGUAAAGGGUGCGUAGGCGGGUCUUUAAGUCAGGGGUGAAAUCCUGGAGCUCAACUCCAGAACUGCCUUUGAUACUGAGGAUCUUGAGUACGGGAGAGGUGAGUGGAACUGCGAGUGUAGAGGUGAAAUUCGUAGAUAUUCGCAAGAACACCAGUGGCGAAGGCGGCUCACUGGCCCGUUACUGACGCUGAGGCACGAA
rnacentral:rRNA from 1 species